rnacentral:rRNA from 1 species
GAUGAACGCUGGCGGCGUGCCUAAUACAUGCAAGUAGAACGCUGAAGGAAGGAGCUUGCUCUUUCCGGAUGAGUUGCGAACGGGUGAGUAACGCGUAGGUAACCUGCCUGGUAGCGGGGGAUAACUAUUGGAAACGAUAGCUAAUACCGCAUAACAGUAGAUGUUGCAUGAUAUCUACUUAAAAGGUGCAAUUGCACCACUACCAGAUGGACCUGCGUUGUAUUAGCUAGUUGGUGAGGUAACGGCUCACCAAGGCGACGAUACAUAGCCGACCUGGGAGGGUGAUCGGCCACACUGGGACUGAGACACGGCCCAGACUCCUACGGGAGGCAGCAGUAGGGAAUCUUCGGCAAUGGACGGAAGUCUGACCGAGCAACGCCGCGUGAGUGAAGAAGGUUUUCGAAUCGUAAAGCUCUGUUGUAAGAGAAGAACGAGUGUGAGAGUGGAAAGUUCACACUGUGACGGUAUCUUACCAGAAAGGGACGGCUAACUACGU